rnacentral:rRNA from 1 species
AGCAGCCGCGGUAAUUCCAGCUCCAAUAGCGUAUAUUAAAGUUGUUGCAGUUAAAAAGCUCGUAGUUGAAUUUCGGGGUUAGUAGAUUGGUCAUGCCUUUGGUAUGUACUGGUCUUACUGAUUCCUCCUUCCUGAUGAACCGUAAUGCCAUUAAUUUGGUGUUGCGGGGAGACUGGACUGUUACUUUGAAAAAUUAGAGUGUUUAAAGCAGGCUAACGCUUGAAUACAUUAGCAUGGAAUAAUGAAAUAGGACGUUCGAUCUUAUUUUGUUGGUUUCUAGGAUUGACGUAAUGAUUAAUAGGGAUAGUUGGGGGCAUUAGUAUUCAAUUGUCAGAGGUGAAAUUCUUGGAUUUAUUGAAGACUAACUACUGCGAAAGCAUUUGCCAAGGAUGUUUUCAUUAAUCAAGAACGAAAGUUAGGGGAUCGAAGACGAUCAGAUACCGUCGUAGUCUUGACCAUAAACUAUGCCGACUAGGGAUCGGAUGAUGUUAAUUUUUAAUGACUCAUUCGGCGCCUUAAC